AGCCAUAAAUCCUGAUGUUUCCCAUACACAAACAUCCGCCCGAGAACUACGAGCACAAACGCUUAAAACUCUAAGGACUUGGCGGUGCCCUAAACCCACCUAGAGGAGCCUGUUCUAUAACCGAUAAUCCACGAUACACCCAACCACUCCUUGCCAAAACAGCCUACAUACCGCCGUCGCCAGCCCACCUCCAUGAGAGCACAACAGUGAGCUCAAAAGCCCACCUUUAACCCGCUAACAAGACAGGUCAAGGUAUAGCCUAUGGAGUGGAAGAAAUGGGCUACAUUUUCUAAAAUAGAGCAUACUCAACGAAAAGAGGUCUGAAACCUACCUCUAAGAAGGCGGAUUUAGCAGUAAAGAAGGACAAUCAAGCCCUCUUUAAGCUGGCCCUAGGGCA
rnacentral:rRNA from 1 species